GCCAGUGUAGCAUAGUUUGAGUGUUGGACUACAACUCUGGAGACCAGGGUUCAAUUCCCUGCUCAUCCA
rnacentral:tRNA from 1 species